rnacentral:rRNA from 1 species
UACGCCAGAAGAAAUCGCCGCAUUGGAGCAGCAAGCUUAUAUCGGCAUGAUGAAUCAAUGUAUGGCGGAAGAAGGCAGUGACGGUCUGAAACGCUGGUGGAAAGAUCAAAGCCGUAAAGUCCGCAAUGAGAUCCCACUGCAAGUUGCACUGGCAGAACAUCUAAUUGAGUGUGACGAUCAUGAUGUCGCCCAGCAAAUCAUUCUGGACGGUCUGAAGCGUCAGUAUGAUGAACGUUUAGUCCUCCUGAUCCCACGCUUAAAAUCAGGUAACCCAGAACCGCUGGAGAAAGCAUUGCGCCAGCACAUCAAGCAACAUGGUGCGACCCCGCUACUUAAUAGCACCCUGGGGCAACUCAUGCUGAAACACGGCGAAUGGGAGAAAGCCUAUGAAGCCUUUAAAGCAGCGCUUGAGCAGCGCCCAGACGGCUAUGAUUAUGCAUGGUUAGCUGAUGCGCUAGAUAAACUGCAUCGCCCUGAAGAUGCAGCGCAGGCGCGUCGUGAGGGGCUACUGUUGACCUUGCGGCAGAAUGGCGAAUCACUUUGAUGGUAUGCAAGUCAAUCUGUGAGCCAAGGGGCGACCGUACCUAGGGGCACUCCGGCGACUUACGUCGCUACGAUCCCAACGGCACGUUUCCCCUUGGUUCAGCUUCAUUAGUCAUCUAAAGGCUCCUACGGGGCCUUUUUUUUGCUUCUGAUUCGGGGACAAAUCUGUCGGGAGCAGAGUUGAACGCUGCUUGCAGCGGCCUCAACGAGGCGAGGCCCACGGAUGGGCCGAGUAACUAGUGCAGCUAACAACCCUGCGGCUUCAAGUAGCAAAGAAUACCCAAAGUAAUUGGAGUUGCAGGUAGGCAGCCAGCAAACGCA